CCCUUAGAUGUUCUGGGCCGCACACGCGCUACACUGAAGGAGGCAGCGUGUACUCCUGGAUCGAAAGAUUUGGGUAACCCGCGAAUCUCCUUCGUGCUAGGGAUUGAGGUUUGCAAUUAUCCUUCAUGAACGAGGAAUUCCCAGUAAGUGCAAGUCAUAAGCUUGCGCUGACUACGUCCCUGCCCUUUGUACACACCGCCCGUCGCUCCUACCGAUUGAAUGGUCCGGUGAAGCGCUCGGACCGCGGCCUCUUGACGGGUCUCCGUCGAUUGGCUGUGGGAAGUUCGUUAAACCUUAUCAUUUAGAGGAAGGAGAAGUCGUAACA
rnacentral:rRNA from 1 species